AGACCCCAGCCAGCCGGUCCGCGGGGUUCCCGAGUCAGGAAGAAGGGUGGCGGCCUUGGCUGUCGCCCCUCGCAAUCGCGAGCACCUCGCAGAUCGCGAGGUUUUGAGUGCUCCUCUCAGGAGGAGGAGGAGGAGACCCACGUGACUAGACCUAUAUUGUCAAAGACAAGCCAGAAGAACCUAGAAAGGGUAGGAGGAAAGUUUUUCUCCUCCCCCAAUAGUUGGUGUAUCCGGCAGAAUCCUUCACUGGCUGGAAAAGCUGUUUUCCGAAGACUGCUGCAGAUAAAGAGAUCCUGGGACAUUUGACAAAAGCUGGCAGAAGACAGUGGCUUCCGAAGUGACACAUCUAGUGGCCCAUGGAGCAAGUUCUGUUCAGAAACCACGCGGCAAUGGAGGAGACCAUCUACAGGCUGUGCUUGCAUCCAGACCGUUCAGGUGUAAUCAGCAGCAACACAGCGGAGAUGAAUGACUUUGGAAAUAAUGGGAUCUGACAGCACCUUCUAUGCUUCCUGCUACAUUCUUUCUGCAACACUCCCAGAAACCAAAAAGCCCUUAGGAGCACCCAGGGAAUUUCACACGUCUAUAAGAAGAACAGUCUGUUAAUUGGGCUUGGUUAUUCCAUGGGGAUAUCCUUCCACAGAGUAUGUGCAUCAUGGAAGAACAUACAGCAUUAUCCAGUCCAGAGCCCUCUGGCUGAGCUUGCCAGAAGAAAGAGCACCCUGCCCUGAAUAAGGGACGAGGAUGGGCCCCCAGGGGGAACUGAAUUCACCCAGAAUCCUCUUCAGCUCGGGUCCUGAGGAUUUUAUCAAGAGCCUUCUGUAUACAGAGUGUAAGAUCAGAGACUGUUAAUAUUUCUUUCGCAUGCCGGCAGGGAAGACAAGCUCUAAAACCUUAAGAGAUGUUAUUGCAUCCGAUCCCACAAACUAAAUAUUUGUCAAGAGACAAGCCGUUCAAAGCAUAGAACUUGUUGAAGUCAAAUCCAGACACGUGGCAUAAUUAAGAAGAUACCCGUGUGUCUCCAAAUCAUGCAUGUUCAUUUGUCCAUCUAAACACUUGCCAAAAAGGAAUAGCCUAAUCUCAAGCUUUUGUCAAGUGAAAACACUUAAUGUUGCUUUUUAAAAGUAGCUCGUCCUUGAUGGGGAAAGUACAGAUAUGGUUUCUUCUCUCAUGGUCUUGGUCAUCACAUAUGUAAUGUGACAUAGACCAGAAAACAAAUAGAUUCUGCAAGCAGAGCAGAGAAACACAGGGAAAAUCUUGUUCGGUCAUCGUUAAGAGAUUUGGGGGUUUGGGGUUUUGUGUUUAAGGUGCAGACUAAUGGAGUGACGAUCCUUUGAUGUGUAAUGUAAGGGGUACCAGUGAAAGGAUGCCUAGUCCAAAAGGUUUUCUCCACAUUCAGAUCACAGCGCCUGAAAGUCACUAUACACUUGGGGAGCCAGAGUACCUCCCAAGUUUCGGUCUCGAAUAGUCUCAAUGGGAAAGGUAAUUCAUGAGCCCGUUCAUCAGUGCGAUCAUCCUGUGUAGGACUUUCCGUGGCUUAUGUGUCUCUUUUCAGAGUCCCACGAGUUUGAGAUUGGAGGCAGGAGGACACAUCUAAAGCAUGAGAUUUUCUUUGUGAAGAAGGACUGAAAAAAUAAAGAAAACUAGUCAUUUGAGGCCCAUUAUGUUCCAGGCAUUGUACCUGCAUCAUCGAGAUCCAUUUAUUGAGUAACCCCUAGCAACCCAGGGACACCGAUGCUUUUAUCAGCCAAGCUUCUUGUCGUGGAAGGGAACACAAGCAAACUUAAAAGUUUCUUUUUGCUUUUUUUAAGUUAGAUAAUUAAAAAGUCUAGAAGUUUCUUCUUUCAUGUGUAACUGGAUCUGGGUUCUUACACUGUGCUUUCAGAAUCUCUUAGCUUUUUUCCCCUUCAGAGUUAUCCUUAUGAGAUCUCUGGUUUCAUGGCCUCUGUUUUGUCUUUAUUUUUUUAUUUUUAGGGCUGUACUCCUGGCAUAUGGAGGUUGCAAGGCUAGGGGCUGCAUCAGAGCUACCGCUGCCAGCCUACACCACAGCUCACGAAAGUGCCAGAUCCUUAACCCACUGAGCGAGACCAGAGAUCGAACCCUCAACCUCAUGUUUCCUAGUUGGAUUCAUUUCCGCUGCAUCACAACAGGAACUCCCCAAAUGGAACUUAGAGCAGACCUGAAAUGGCUCUGCUCAGCCCUGUGUUCACCUCUGUAGUGGGGCCUUCUUACAGCGUUACAAGAAUCCAUGAAGGUGCUAGAAUACCUGAGUCGAGUGGGUACAGAGUAAAGCAUAUAGUAUUGUGUUAGUGAUGAAAUGUCAUCAUGAUGAAAUAUCAUCUCAUUUUCAUGUGAUGAGAGACAAGAAGACAGGAGGCUGUGUUAGUUUCUGCCUGCUGCUGUAACAAAUUACCAUAAAUCUACUGACUUCAAGCAACACAGAUACACUGCUUCAUGGUUCUGUGGGUCAUACGUCUAAAGUGGGUCUCAUCAGGCCAAAAACAAGGUGUCCACAGGGAUGCGCUCCUUCUCCAGGCUCUUGAGUCCAUUUCCUUGUUCAUGUAGGUGUUGGCAGAAUUCAUAAGGGAAUUAUGCGGGAAAUAACACUGCAGAGGAAUCCUGAACAAUGGAUUGAGCCCAGCUAAGACGUCAGACAUUCCUUUUUCCCUUGUGUUCUUUGAACAUGGUGAUAGCAUUUACAGGCUUGGUGGUAAAGAACAGAAAAUAACUGGUGAGAAUAAAGAAGCCUUAUUUUUUUUAUUAUGGCAGCUUGCUAUUUUUGUAGCAUGGUAACUGAGUUGAACACAAAGUACAGUAACUAAUCUCUCCUUCUUCCUGGAUGAGUGAGCAGGUGAUGAAAUAUUGAUGUCGGCAUCCUUGAACACAUCCAAAUGAACAGUGUUUGGCUACUGCUUCCGUUUGAAAUGGUGCUGUGUUUGGGUUGUGGCUCAAAGCUUUGAAGGGCUGCUCGGCAUCUCCUUUCUUCCGUGGAGCUCUUAGCAUUCAGAGCGGUCAAAUACUAGUUAAGUUGAGUCUUGCUUGCCCGUCUUCAGUCAUCUUUGUUUGAAUCCAAGGUGGUGUGUUUUUUUUGUUUAUUUAUUUUUUCUAAUGGUUUUCAUCUGAUAUUCAUCAAGGGCAGUGAGUAGCUAGAGCUAUGCCAUUCAAGAAAGGAUAUUCUAUCAGAGAAGGUGCAUUUUGGAGUUCCUGCUGUGGUUCAACAGGUUAAGAACCAGCCAUUGCCUCUGUAAGGAUGCGGGGUUUGACCUUAACUGGUCUCGUGAUAUGGAUUAAGGAUCCAGGGUUGCUGCAAGCUGCAGCCUCCCUUGCAGUUAUGGCUUGGAUCCAUUAUUGCUGUGGCUAUGGUGUUGGCUGUUAAAAGACAAUAAAUAAAGAAAUAAAGAAAGAAAGAAAGAAAGAAAGAAAGAAAGAAAGAAAGAAAGAAAGAAAGAAAGAAAGAAAGAAAGAAAGAAAGAUGGUGCAUUGCUGAACCAGAGCUCUGUCAUAACCAUCGUUUAGGCCCGCUGCUGGAAAAAGAGAAUCAAGUCUCAAAUCAUGCCUUUUUAGUUAUGCCCUCUUGUAUUAUAGAUGUAGGACAGUAUUGUUUUGUACCUCUGUGAAUAUAAACUAUCUCGUACUUGCUUUGUGUUGUGUAGUAAUGACAACCGUACUUGAUCAGAGCUGUUUUUAAUGUUAUUCUAGAAUGUUUUCUUUCCAGGUGAUUGAGAAGCUAACAAAACAAAUAAACGAACAAACAAAAAAAUGGUGCCAGGUACCACAACAGUCACAGAAGGAAAAAAAAAAAAAAGAAUUCAUAAGAUGUAUUAUCGUAGGACCGAGGUCCCCAUUACCUUGCUAGCUGUUGGUCAUGGUCACUCUUCAGCUUCUGGAGGCCGCCUGGAUUUGCCCUCUCCUGGCCUCUCAUCUUCAGGGUCCGCAGCAGUGGGUCAAAUCCCCAUCUCAUUUUGAAUCUCUCCUGCCUCUAGUUCCAUUGGAUUUCUCUCACCAGAGGUGGGAAAGAGUCUUUAUUUAACUACACUAGCCACCCCCCCACCCCACCCCCCGUUAUCUAUAGUCCCACUUUCCAUGGUUCGUUACCCAAGGUCAGUCCCAGUGAGAAAUAUUAAGUGGAAAAUUCCAGAAAUAAACAGUCCAUAAGUUUUGAAUUGCACACUGUUCCGAGUAGCAUGAUGUAAUCUUGAGCUGUCCCACUGUCUUGCUCAGGAUGUGAAUCAUCCCUUUGUCCAGCUUGUCCUGAGCGUGGCUUAGAAACGCUCCGUUAUCAGAUCCACUGCCGCGGUUAUCAGAUUGACUGUCGAAGUCUCGCAGUGCUUGUGUGCAAGGCCCCCUUGGUUUAUUGAAUCAAGGCCCCGAGGUGCAAGACUAGGGAUGCUGGCGACUCGGGUGUGCCCAAGAGAGGCCAUCACGUGCUUCCUUUAAGUCAAAAGGUGAAUUUUUUUGACUUAAUAAGGAAGGGAAAAAAUUGUAAGCUGAGAUUGCCAGGAUCUGUGGCAAGAACGAAACUUGUGUUUGUGAAAUUCUGACGAAGGACAAAGAAAUUUAGGCUGAUUUUUCUCUCGAAUCUCAUACUGCAAAAGUUAUGCCCACAGUCAUGGCCAGUGCUUAGUUCAAGUGGAAAAGGCAUUAAAUUUGUACAUUUUGAGAGAGAGAUCACAUUUCUGUAACUUUUAUUUCAGUGUAUUGUUAUGAUCAUUCUAUUUUAUUAUUAGUUAUUGUUCGUCGCUGCAGUGCCUGAUCUAUACAUUAAGCUUUGUAUGUAGAGGAAGAAACAGUGUGUAUGAAGUACAGUAUUAUCUGCAGUUCCAGGCAUCCACUGGGGAAUUUAGACUGUAUCCCCCAUGGAUAAAGGGGGGACCACUGCACUCAUUUGAUUAGAUUGAAUCCACUUGGAAUCUAGGACAAUUUUAAGAUUAUCUCGAGAUCUGUGACCUCAGUCACAUCCACAAAGUCCCUUCGGCCAUGUACGCAACCUGUUCACAGGUUCUGGGGAUUAGAAUGAGGGCAUCUCUGGGAAGCCUCCAGAGACGAGCAGGGAAACCCCAAAAAUAAGGUAGCGAAUCCUUCAUUUUGAAGGAGUGAAGCAGUCGUAACUGAAGCUUUCAAGCCUGCCCUCACAUAGAGUUCCCACACGUGAAACUUAAGAGCUGAUUUGUCCUGCUGUAUAGCACUGGGAACUAUAUCGAGUCACUUAGGAUGGAACACGA